GUAAGUGUUAGGAACUGAACCCAGGUUCUUUGUAAGAACAAGCGCUCUUAACCUCUGGGCCAUCUCUCCAGGCCUCUUAAAUACACUUAAAAAAAAGAUUUAUUUAUUUAUUUAUUUAUUUAUUUAUUUAUUUAUUUAUUUAUUUAUUUAAUGUAUGUGAGUACACUGUAACUGUACAGAUGGUUGUGAGCCUUCAUGUGGUUGUUGGGAAUUGAAUUUUUAGGACCUUUGCUUGCUCUGGUCGGCCCUGCUCUCUCAGUUCCUGCUUGCCCAAAGAUUUAUUUAUUAUUAUAGAUAAGUACAUUAUAGCUGACUUCAGAUGCACCAGAAGAGGACCUUAGAUCUCAUAUGAAUGGUUGUGAGCCACCAUAUGGUUUCUGGGAUUUGAACUCAGGACCUUUGGAAGAGCAGUCAGUGCUCUUACCCUCUGAGCCAUCUCGCUAUCCCCUUAAAUACACUUUUAACUGAAGAGUAAAUACACACAGAAAAUGCUCCAAUCCUGCCACCUCUCCUGUGUGAACGGAACAAUACCUCCAGCCCAAGGCUCCUGUGUGCUCCGCCAGUCCCAUCCCAAGGGCAGCCACUGUCUCGGCCUCUGCCACCACAGAUGAGUUUCAUCUAUUUUUGAACUUUGUCAAUGGAAUCUUGUAGUACAGGCUAUUUUUAUGUCUGGCUUCUGUUCACUCGUGUUGUGGAGGAUAGAACACUUUGCCCAGCCUCUUGCUGUACUGUGUUCUAUGACUGUCACUGCUAGGGAACGAGGACUGCCUGUGUUUAAUAUUGGAGGUGACUGCUGAACAUGUGUCACUGGUUUUACAUGGGGGGGCUCACUGCUUUUAUGAUAACCUGAAACUUCAGGUGAUAUCGCUAGAAUGGUUUAAAUUAUCAGAGAGGGAACCUGUGAACCCAUUUCUUCAUUCUUUCCUCCUUUGUUGAUAUUGAAUUUGCCAUGUAGCUCGGGAUGACCUUAAACUCUUGAUCCUCCUGCCUCAACCUUCUUAUUGCCACUAUACCCAAGUGAUUCGGUGCCGAGGAUCUAACCCAGAGCUGUGUGUAUACUAGGUGUUUUGUCUGCAUGUAUGUCAGUGCUCCACAGGCAUGCUUGGUGCCUACGGAGGCCAGAAGAGGACAUCAGGUCCCCUGUGAGUUACAGAUAGCUGCGAGCUGCCACGUGGGUACUUAGAAUUGAACUCAGGUUCCCUGGAAGAACAGCCAAUGCUGUUGACUUGGUGUGCUGUGUUGGAUCUCUGGCUUCGAUCUCCUGGACUCAGGAAAUCAGCAGUUCAGUUCACAGGAAUCAGCAGCAGAAGCUCGACCCACUCGCAGACACGAUACAGAUAUAACAGCAGUCCAGUUCCUUAGAGUCGGAAUAGCAAACAUGAAUCAGCGGCAGAAGCAUGAUCCAGCAGAAACAGCCAGGCCUCAGUUGAGUCAGCACAAGUCAGCCGAAGGGACCAGGACCACUAGGGAUGCCAGGAGAAGUUCUUUGCUGUGCCUCUCUCAAAGAAGCAGAGAUUAGUGAAGAUUCAAGACCAAGAAGAGUUACAAAGUUACUUAUGCAAGCCAGCCCCUAUCAAUGUCCAUUGGGUCCUAUUUAUAUUCCCUCAAAACAUCGUGUGCCCUCUACAGGUCUUGCCUCACCACCUGUCUUUCCUCAGUCCAUGAGUGUUGCCUUAGCAAAACUCCACGUGCGUCUUUAUCUGACAUCGUUCUAUCGGUCAGAGUCUUUGGAAGAGGCAAGAAGCCGCAGGAAUCUCUCCAUUUAUUUCUCUCUAUGAGUCUUGACCAUUGGAGCUCAACAACGCAUGUAAAGUGAACCAAUACAUGUGUGUCAUUAUCGAAGAAUCCUUCAUCAUGUGUCCUUUCAUGUGCUUGCUUUAGCAAAACAUUCUUCCACCUGUGUCUGCUUCAGCGAAACGUUCCUUCACAUGUCUGACUCCACCCAACACAACUGACUUUCCAAAGAACUGUUAAGUUUCCACUUCCCAGGGUGGGGGUACAUGCAUGAUGUGUAUGGAGGUCAAAGGACAACUUGUGGGAGUUGGUUCCGUCUUUUCACAGUGUAAGCUAAGGAAGCGCCGGUCAUCGGUCAUUGGCUUGGCAGCAAACACACUGAGAUAGCUCUUUCUAGCCCAACCCUCAGCUUUUCUUUCCUCCUCCCCUUCCUUCCUCCUCCUCCUCCUCUCUUCUUUGUCUUCUCCUUUCUCCCAUCUCAGGCUUGGAGAUAGAAGUUUCUGAUCUGGAUCUUGGUAUGGAGAUCUUAAGGCUUAGUGGCUAUGGAUUCCAGAAGAUUAAAUCUCCGAGUUCAAGGUCAUCUGGAUUGAAAGGUGUGGUGGAGCACACCUUUAAUCUGGGCUACACCUUCUGCUGGAGACAAUAUAAGGACAUUGGAAGAAGGGAGUCUUGCUCUUGCUCCUUCCCCUGCUUGCCGUGUGAGAUUGAGUAACUGCUAGAUCCUUGGACUUCCAUUAACAGCUACUACUGAACCAUUGUUGGGAAUUGGGCUGCCGACUGUAAGUCAUCAAUAAACUCCUUUACUAUAUAGAGACUACCCAUAAGUUCUGUGACUCUAGAGAACCCUGACUAAUACAGAUGGACUCUCAGUAUCUCACCUAUAGAGUUUAGGUUUUCCUCAACUCAUCCUGCCUCAGCCACUUAAAUGCUGAGAUUAUAGGUUUGAGCCACGAUCCGAUUCCAGGUGCCAGGAAGGAUUUUCUAAUAGACAUUAUAGUAGACCUAGCUUAGUUUUCUUAACUCCAUAUGGACAGCUUGUUUGAAUAUCCUAUUAAACACACACACACACACACACACACACACACACACACACACACACAAAGAGAGUACAGGCACUUGCUGCCAACCCCCCCCCCACACACACACACAGAGUACAGGCACUUGCUGCCAA
rnacentral:lncRNA from 1 species